CCCUGUCUUCUACCUCCCGUCCGAGUUCCUCUUCAGCACGACACCGCCGCCGCACGAACCCCGCAAGGAUCGCGCCCGAUCUCCCUGACCCCUCCGCGAUUCGGUCCAUCUCAAACUGCAACGUGAUCUCUACGAAUCCCUCAUCCGAUUCCCCGAAACGCUGCUCGAGUUUGCCCUCGGAAUCGAGCGCGACGACCCCGCUAAUCGCAGCCGCCUGAAGCUACUCCGGCGACAAACUCCGGCCGCCCCAUGCGAACCGAGUCGAGCUCCCCCUGAAGACCCGAUCUCGCCGGAGCAUAGCCGCCGCGCGAGGACGCCUAGAUCACCUUCGACUGCACCUCCGACCUCGCUGUGUCGCACCCCACCUCUCCAGUUAUUUCCCCGGCGCCUAUGGCCACAAGGAGCGACACCAUCGCCGAUCAGAGCUGCUCCACGACGGUCCCCAUUGUUUCCGGCAGUUUUUUUUUUCGGUGACAGAUUUUCAACCCAAUUUCGUUUUUGACAGAUUUUCAACCCAAUUUCGUUUCGCUACAUCUGGUGAUCCGUAUAUUCAAAUCGAGUGAUUCUUUUUCCUACAUGAUCACCAUGACCUCUACUAUCCCGUAGAGUAAAUAUUUCAAUUGUUCAAACUUUUCAAAUUUGAGCGAGUCAAAUUUGAAUUCAAACUUUCAUAUGGUGAUAUCUUGCAGACCGUAGCACAUUUUCAAUUGAUUCCUUUUGCCCGUGAAACACUAGUACCAAUACUUGCCGAUCACAUCCUGUAUACUCAAUAUUCAAACACUUUUUGACCUGUUUCAAAUUCAAAUUCAGUUCAUACUUCA